rnacentral:misc_RNA from 1 species
AACCUAGCACACCUGCGGUGUGUACCUGCGGAAGGAUCAUUACCAGAGUGAGGGUGAAAACCCGACCUCCAACCCCAUGUAAUUCAUACCAUGUUGCCUCGGGGGCGACCCGGCCUUCGGGCGUCGGGGCCCCCGGUGGACCCGUAACACUGCAUCUAUGCGUCGGAGUGAUUAAUCAAUCAAUCAAAACUUUCAACAAUGGAUCU